GGAGAGAUGGCCGAGCGGUUGAAGGCGCACGCUUGGAAAGCGUGUAUAGGGGCAAAACCCCUAUCGAGGGUUCGAAUCCCUCUCUCUCCGCCA
rnacentral:tRNA from 1 species